rnacentral:rRNA from 1 species
CCUACGGGAGGCUGCAGUGGGGGAUAUUGCACAAUGGGGGAAACCCUGAUGCAGCGACGCCGCGUGUGGGAAGACGGUCUUCUGGAUUGUAAACCACUGUCCCCAGGGACGAAAAUGACGGUACCUGGGGAGGAAGCUCCGGCUAACUACGUGCCAGCAGCCGCGGGAAUACGUAGGGAGCGAGCGUUGUCCGGAAUUACGGGGUGUAAAGGGAGCGUAGGCGGGGAUGCAAGUUGGGUGGGAAAACUACCGGCUAAACUGGUAGUCGUACUCAAAACUGCAGCUCUUGAGUGAAGUAGAGGCAGGCGGAAUUCCUAGUGUAGCGGUGAAAUGCGUAGAUAUUAGGAGGAACACCAGUGGCGAAGGCGGCCUGCUGGGCUUUUACUGACGCUGAGGCUCGAAAGUGUGGGGAGCAAACAGGAUUAGAUACCCCAGUAGUC